ensembl:lncRNA LINC02221 long intergenic non-protein coding RNA 2221
AUUCUGAGCUUCUGGGAGUUAAGACCCCAACAUGUAAAUCUGGAGGGAUGCAAUUCAACACGUAAUAUUCCCUAACACAAUAUUUCCAUAACAGUCUGUAGCGUCUUCUUCAGGCUAAGGGAUUGGGGCCUCAUCUAUCAGAGUUGUAAUAAGGAACAAAGGUUGUUGAAGAAUUGAAUAUAUUACUCCAGCUAUCGUCAACAAACAUGCUUCAACAACAGGAUCCUCACUGUUUGGAAGACAGCCCCUGAGACCCAGAGCAAAUGGGUCAAAGUCUCAGUUACAUCAGUAUAACUACAAAGACAAUAAUUCUUACCUCUCUCACAGGAUCCAGUGAAAAAGGACAUAAAAGAGUAUUUGAAAUCAGCAAGACUGAAGCUCUACAAAGACUGAUAUUUUAAACAUGGCCACUGUGACCUACUUAUAACCACGUGUCAACUUUAACACCGGAUUCCAAAAACAAGGCACAAUGUGAGAUGAAAUGAUAAUCAAAGUGGAUUACUGGAGGUUUGCUUGGAAUCCUGGUCUUCCAUGUGGACAUCGUUUUUUGGGGACAGCAUCUGGGGCUUCCUUCUGCUACCACAACCAUCCUCAAAGUAUAGUCUGGAGACCUCGUCUACCUCAGAGUUUUGAUACAGUAUCAAAGAAGACUAUUCAUAAUUAUCUAAAAAGAAAGCCAACAUUAAAAUGCAUGCCCCUUUUCCAGCCACACAUCUGGAAAACAGCAAAUCACAACAGACUGAAUACAGAAGCAGAUGUAAGCAGGCAGCCAUCUUCUAUUAAGCAGGACGUUAAAGAGCUAUGCAAAAAUGUAAAACAAUGCCAAUCUCUCAUUUCAUGUUCUUUCAUUUUGGGAAAAAAAAAUUUUCAUAAAAAGAUAUUGUUCAUUUAGCAUGUAA